CGGAGUUUGUGAUUGCCUAAGUAAACACUUGAAAAUCAGUCUCCCGACAAUGGAGUCCUCUGUUUUAUACGUUUUGGCAAUCAUUUACAUCAUCUGUCUGAAUGCAAAGUUGGUAUUCUCUUUGCACAAUCCCUUGAUGCGCACAUCUUGCCUAUUAGGGGAGGAGCUUGUCUGCCACGCCCGAUUCAUCAUCUGCUGGCAGUACAAGUGCAGGUGCAUUGAUAAACACGAUUAUCUCGGGCCCGGGCUGGGGUGCAUCUACCAUAUUUUUCAUUAAACAAAAUCCUGAAGAGUCCAUGGCCCGAAGAAUGUAGUGAGCUCCAAGCAGGAAAUGCAAGGGCUGGAAGCACUUCUUGCAGUGGCAUGCAUCUUUCGUACCGUCCAGAAAUUACGGGUGAAAUAAACCAUUAAUAACCAAGCGGCAGCUUUUUACAUGCUAAA